rnacentral:rRNA from 1 species
UACAGAGGUGGCAAGCGUUGUUCGGAAUUACUGGGCGUAAAGGGCGAGUAGGUGGCCAUCUAAGUCAGACGUGAAAUCCCCCGGCUUAACCUGGGAACUGCGUCUGAUACUGGACGGCUAGAGUUUGGGAGAGGGAUGCAGAAUUCCAGGUGUAGCGGUGAAAUGCGUAGAUAUCUGGAGGAAUACCGGUGGCGAAGGCGGCAUCCUGGACCAACACUGACACUGAAUCGCGAAGGCUAGGGGAGCAAACGGG